GCAGCAUCAGCUUGUCUACCAAAAGAGCUCACUAGCAAGUUAUUACUGCAGCAUCACUUGUCUAUUUACUACUUGUCUAUUUACUUGUUGAUCGAAGCAUUUACGAAGAUGAUACAUAAUCUGUAAGUUCCAUUUAGGCGCCAUGAUCAAACCUUUGCAAAAAAAGACAUAAUUAUAAGUCAAAAACACAAUUGAUUUAUAAUAAAGUAUAUCGGUAUUAUAUCAUCAAAUAUACAGAAGGUUAUCAACUUACCACACAUGCCACAGGUUGCAACUAUAUGUCAAUAAUAGUUGAAUCUUUUGCACAAUUAGCCAAAUCUAAGGAAAAUAUUGAAGAAAACUUUGUCAGGCAUCAGUGUUAAGUAAACUAUUUGUAAUAUAAUAAAUGCAAAAUACAAAAUAAUUACCAAGUUUCAGUUGUUCUAGAUACUCCAAGUCUUCCUCAACUUUAACAGGAAUAGGUUC
rnacentral:lncRNA from 1 species